UAAUGGCUGCCAACCUGCCAACUGCCAACUUCCAUCUUCCUUCCUAAUUCUUGACUUGGAGACUCAACCUCCAACCUCCAACUACUCCAUGUGGGCUGGAUUCAACACAUCUGUGGUCUGUUCUGAACAGAAAAUCUAGGCCUCAAAUCUCGAAAAGGACAAAAGACCUCAUUGACCUCAAAAUGUCUAGCAUUUCUUCAAGGAUACGAAUGGAUCACUGGAAGAUAAUGUCGUUGGGAAUGGUUUGCAUGGUGUUUCCAAUGAGAAGGAUGAGAAACGUACAAGGAACAAGGAUAGGCCUGAUUAUGGUGUUUGGACUCCUAUUUGCCAUUCAGAUGGAUCACAUGCUAGUGAUGAAUCUUUAUUAUCUUCAGCUUCUCAAUCAACACAGUUACAGCAAGAUUCUGCUAAAGGUUCACAUAAACACAGUGGCUGCCGGGGGCUAGCACAUAAUGUGAAGGAUUUAGAUGGCUUUUCUGUCGUAAGGGGAAACUAUUGAAGAAAGGAGGUUCUUCUGGCUAUGGUUCCCAUGAGAAACAAGUGUGGGUUCAGAAGCCAAGUGCUGGUUCUUAAUGUUGUUUUGACUGGUAAGCCACUAUGCUUUAUGAAUGAUUUCUUUUUCAUUUUAGAUUCAAAAGGCUGUAAAUAUAUAUCUGGAAUUAGAUGUGUACUGUCUCCGUUACUCUCUACACAUGCUUUUGUUGAGUGGGUAUGUCAUAUGCCAUUAGUGAGCUCUUGUUUAUAGGCUUUCUUUGUAAUUGGCAAUCGGGUUUGCGUGAAAGUACAAAGUUGGGGGCCUGCCUUCGACUCAGCGGGUAUGUUUUUAGUCUUUUGACAUAUACAAACUGGAGUGACUUUAAAAUAGGUGAGGAAAUUGGAGUGGAGAGUUCGUAGAAAACUGAUGGAUGUUUGUUUUUGUAUGUUGUGGCGGAUGAGGCUGAAAUGGGAAUAUGCAUUGAUUUGUUCUAUGUUAAUUAUUUUUAAUUGACACUAGCUAAUAUUUUCAGCCAAGAUCUGUGUUUUAUUUUUUCUCAAUUAUUUGUCAUUGAUAUCUUGGAAACCCAACUUCACCCAAGAAUAUUGAGAUAUCGUUUCUUUGAGAUUGU